AUUUUAAACUAAAAAUCCUCGAAGUCUAAAUCCAGCCACCAGAUUCAGUAGGCAUAUUUGUGUGUGUGUGUGUGUGUGUUUUCUUCCUAUAUGUUUUGUUCGAACCAGUGACAUUUUACUACUAGUUUUUUUUUUUUUUUUCCUAAGCAUCUUUAUAAAGCCAAAACCAAACAAUAUAAUAUUUCCAUUUUUCAUCAUUUUCUAUUUUUCUGAAAUUUUUGUUGUUGUAAGGGCAUUUUUGUCUUUUAUCGUUUUGUGUGCCGGACACUGCGGAGUAUGCCGGUUGUGUACGAGAGUUGUUUGGAGCAUUUCAUUGAGUUCAGAACUCUUUGAAAUGUAAGGGUGAUCAUUUUAGCAUUUUUUUCUUUUUUCGGGCCGAACAGUUCCGUGUGGGACCCGCUACUAGAAUUGUUGCAUGCGGGAAUUUUAAUUGGGUUCAUUUACAACAUAUUUAUUUUAUUUAAUGUGUUUUAUAUGGUUAUAAUUUAAUAUAUGUAUGUAUAGACAUAUAUGUGUGUGUGUGUGUGUGUGUGUGUGGUGUAAAAAGAAAAUAAAAAUAAAGAGAAAAUAAAUUAUUUUUUUUGGUGGGGCCCAUAACCACAUCAAGUGGUCUAGACCACUUGGUCUCUUAAUUCUUUCUCUCACUCCCGAAGCUCUCUGCCACCCCCUCAAAGUCUCUUUUUCUUCUUUUUUUUCUUUUUUUUUAUUACUUCCAAACUUUGAUCCUAGAUUUCUUCCACAAUACUUAGAAUUUUUAAGUGCCGUUUGCGGCAAAUUGAAGCCCACGACGAGAUCUUCAAAUCCAUACCAGUAAUUUCAGCUUUUGGCCACUCUAGGAAGUCCAAAAAUUGAGACCCAUUUUGAGGGUUUGAGGUGAAAAUUGGGGCUUUUGGCUUAAAUUAAGGAAAUGGGAAAGAAGUAGCGGAUGACAUUCUACCACAGGCCUAAUUUGGACUAGAAGACCAUUUUGCUAUUUUUGUAUCUAAGUCCCAUAUUUUUUUGUAAAACCUUAGUUAUUAUAUUCAGUAUAGAGAUUUAUGGACUCUUAAUAUUAUAAUUAUACCUAUAGGCUGUAACUUUUAUAUAAGUUGUUUGAAUGUUGUAAAGUAUGGACAUUUGAUCUUAAUCCUGUAUUUUGGGACUGUAAUUAUGAUAUUUAGAUGAAAUGGUAUGUGAUUGUACCA